CCUACGGGAGGCAGCAGUGGGGAAUAUUGCACAAUGGGGGAAACCCUGAUGCAGCAACGCCGCGUGAGUGAAGAAGUAUCUCGGUAUGUAAAGCUCUAUCAGCCGGGAAGAAGAUGACGGUACCUGAGUAAGAAGCCCCGGCUAACUACGUGCCAGCAGCCGCGGUAAUACGUAGGGGGCAAGCGUUAUCCGGAUUUACUGGGUGUAAAGGGAGCGUAGACGGCAGGGCAAGUCUGGCGUGAAAUGCCGGGGCCCAACCCCGGAACUGCGCUGGAAACUGUGAAGCUGGAGUGCAGGAGAGGUAAGCGGAAUGCCUGGUGUAGCGGUGAAAUGCGUAGAUAUCAGGAGGAACACCGGCGGCGAAGGCGGCUUACGGGACUGUAACUGACGUUGAGGCUCGAAGGCGUGGGGAGCAAACAGGAUUAGAUACCCGGGUAGUC
rnacentral:rRNA from 1 species